GUAUGGGUCUGAGGAGAGGUACUGUAUGGGUCUGAGGAGAGGUACUGUAUGGGUCUGAGGAGAGGUACUGUAUGGGUCUGAGGAGAGGUACUGUAUGGGUCUGAGGAGAGGUACUGUAUGGGUCUGAGGUGAGGUACUGUAUGGGUCUGAGGAGAG